GGGUGGAGCUGGUCACUGUGGACAAUGCCAGGAGAGCCGCUGUCUCGGCAGAGGGGCCCCUUCCCAUGGUCAAGUACUCAUAGGUCUCUUUUUCACAUUCUCCCUCCUGCCUGGACUCUUCUGAGUUUUGAUUCAUGUACUCAGCUUUCUCUCUGAUGUGUCAUCUCCAUACAUCACACAGAGAAGAGAGAAAAGGAGAUGUGGUCUUUGUUCUGAGCAGUUGGGUUGCUGGAAACUCAUCAUUCGUCAACACACAGGAGGCAGAGAGGGAGACGGAACAGAGCCAAGCUCUCUCCCCUGUGCACAGAGCAAACAGGUGAGGCAGAUGGUGGGAGGGUUUUUGCCUCAUCAAAGAGAUAUGUGGAUUGAAAAGUCUGAGACUCAGUGCUUGCAGCAAUUGCAGAGAGAGAGAUUGCAAGGCAAAUAUCAAUGCCUAGCUCUUGAAGAGGCUUCUGGAAUGCUGCCCAAGUCCACACUGAGAAUGAGGGCGGGAUCCUCUGCCCCUUGAGGAGACUCCGCU
rnacentral:lncRNA from 13 species